CUCACCCGUCCUGCCUCGUGGUUAGGGUUUCGGAGGUUGGCUCCAACACCGGCGGCCAUGGGGCUGCGCCUCCUCUCUGCCUGCAACAGAGGAGAGGAGAGGGAUUGAGCCUGCAGCUCCACAUGUGCUUCAAUUCGAUUUGGAGUAGAGCAAUUGAUGUGCUCCUACAGCUGCUGUAGAAGAUAGGAUGGACGAGAGCACAUCAUUGCAGGAUUAUUGCUGUCUGCUACCAUGUCGAGAGGUUGCAAGGUUCCUGGUUGGUGAGAUCUUCCUUUUCCUUGCUGGCUAGCAGACUAUUAGUUGUUAUGUGCAGCUCAAGUAGCUUUUUGGAUGUGUUGACUGCCCGAAUCUUUUUCUAGGAUGCAUUUGCUGCUCGAUCCUGGAUCUGAUCGGAUUCCUUUGGAUGGAUUAGGUGCUCGGUUCUGUUUGGAUCACUGGUAUUUGUUGUUGCUUUGCAGGAGACUAGGCCUCAUGCCUAUAUCCGGGGUAGAUUUUUGUUACCUUUCUUAAUUUGUCUUUCUUGGACGCAUUAGGUGCUCGGAUAUUGUUGUUGUGUAGGAGAUUGUUGUGGUCUGCCUAGAUUCCUAUGUUUUUGUUACCUUUUUAAUUUUGUCCGCUGCCUGAUUUGUCCUUAUCAGUGGUGACAAGGGAAGGGAAAGGUUUGGCACUGGCUCGCUAAAUUACUUACCUUGAACAUGAUAAUAAAUAUAACAUGUUUGUAGUUGUUAGUAAUUAUUUUCACCCGUGUAAUAAUCCAUUUUUCUAAAGCUAAAUGUUUUAUCUUCCAUAUUGUUGGUGUGUGACAGGUUCAGAUGGCAUGGACGAGUGCUCAUUUAUUCAUGGAGCUAGCGCAGCUCAUCCUUUUUCGAUAGAGGGAUUUGGGCAUCAAUCCUUGGCCUUGCUCCUGAUUAUGUAUCGGAAGUGGGAGUGCUAAUUAUGCAUUGGAUGUAUACUUUGCCUACGAAGCUUAGUGAAAAUGCUCAAAUUUACCUCAAUUAUAGUUACAAGAUACAUUGCUGGUAUUGUUCCGCAAUCAGUUUACACGUCAGGGAAGUCGGUUUUCUGCCGUCCUGCUGCUCAUCUACACUAAUUUUCCUCUAGGGAUGUGGUUAAUGUUUGUUGCUGGAUCCAAAAGUCAUCGCCGCCUGCUGGUGAUCUUGAGUCUUGACUGUCGGAUUGCUGGAACUGUUGUUGUUGUUGCUCGUGGUUGUCUCACAGUCUUGGCUCUUGGUGGCUGGUCCUAGCUUAGAUUGGUCCUCUGUGGCUCAAUCCCCUGGUCGAUGCCUCCUUCGAUCUAUGGCUGCUCUUCUCUGUUUACUGAUGUGCGGGUCAACCCUUCUUCUCCCCCUCCUUUAUGCUCCCCUUCUUUUCCAAAGCUAGGUACACGGUUGUAUGGUGAUAUGCUGGUUGUGCAUAGGCUGGAGAAUAAGAUCCUUCUAUUUCUUGUCUUGUUUCUGAUACAACCAAAAGUAUCAGUCACUUUGCGCACUGGUUUUUUUGCGGUUGCCUUGCCUUUUGUCCCUUCCUGGUAGGGCCAACACUUGUUCCUUUGUGCAUGGAAUGUUGAUGUUUUGUUCUUUUGUGUAUGGAUAAGAGUAUUUGGGGCUUGGCUUCAUUAGGAAGGAAAAUCUAUGAUCGGCCAGUUCUGUUGUUGGCCUCAUGUUAGAUAAAUUUCAGGUUUCGUGCUCGCUUUAUGAGCUUGGAGAUGGUCACAUGUUUAGUUUUUUUACUUUCUGCACUGCUCGAUAAAUCAAUGACUUUUGAUUCAAUAUCUGGCCUAGGUAGCUAUUCAUUUUGCAUCAAUCUGUGUGUAGCUGAAGAAUGUUGGUUCCAUCCAUCUUGAGUAGGUUUUCUUGAGCUCAGUAAUUAAUUUUUAUGGAAAGUGUAUUUUGCCGAGUAAUAAUUAUAUAGUCUAAUGCAUGUCCCAGUUUAGGAUUACUGUUACAACUACCCCAUCUGCGGUGUUCCUGGAUUCUGGUGAUGUAGUUUCAGAAUAGCCUUCUUUUAGUCUAACAAAAGGGGAUUUUUCAUUUGUACUUUAGCAAGGUGUCUGAAGAUAUAUAUCUCGGCAAAAGAUACAAAAAAGGGAAUGUCAUACAGGGAAUGGGAACACGAUAAGAUUGACUGAUAAAUCACUUUGCUUCAGUUUAGGAGGUUCUGAUGUGGUGGUCUUGAUGUAACUGGAGUAUUCAGUGUAAAGUUUGUGGUCUGCACCUCUUUUUUUUCUUAAGAGAACACCUAUAUUUUUUAUAUCUAAAGAGUUACUGUGACUACCAUGGGACUUGAGUAUUCAGUCCGUGUACUUCCAAGGUCUACAUCUUAACAUGAAUCAAGCACUAGGACUGACAUGUAACUUGAGUAUUCAGUCUGUGCAAGGAAAUGUGAUGCUUGGUCUGAAGACAAUAACAAUAUUUCUACAUGUAAGAAGUUGAGGUAAUAUAUUUGUUUCCAUUUGAAAAAACUAAUCCUAUUAUUCUUGUGGAUAUAUGUUAUGUAUUCCGUCAAAGCAUGUGUGCUAGAUCUUACAUUGUGAGAAAUAGCAAAAUAAGUAUUGUAUUAAACAUUAGUAAGUCAGUCUACAGUGGUUGUGUAACAUCCCAUCAUUCAGUUUGCCAGAUACUUAAUUUAUGUUUUUGCACUCAAAAGUAUUCUUCUGAUUCCCCAUAAGCCUCAACUUAUCACGGAAGCAUGUUCAGAGUUCAUUUGCGAUUCACUUCACCACUUCCUUGUGUAACUCUAUCCAGCGGUGACGUGUUGGUGGUUGGCCCCUUUCGCCGUCGUACCCAUCUUGCUGAUCUUAUGUGUACAGAUCGAUUUGAUGCAUCAUUGUCGUCCUCUUUGCACGGCUGUGUGGUGUCUCUCAACACGUGAUGGAUUCACUCACACAGAGGAAGCUUUUCUCCACUGCAUCGCCGACAAUCGCACAAGCUUUUGGGUCCAUGGUGCCACCAGUAAACUAGAGACUCCCUGCGCCACCAUGGUUUUAUGUGUACUACCUCCGCAGUGGAAACUUCUGCUACAAUGUGUAUCGACACCAGAGCCAUGUUCCCUAUCAUGGUAUGGUGCUUAGCAUCAUCAUGUAUUUCCAUUCGGUGUAGUUGAGGGCUUCCAAAGUUUGUGUUUCCAAAUGAUACCUCAUUUUCCUCUUAUUUGUAUUGUUUCACAUAGUUUUCAACUAUAGGGAUAAAGAGCUAUAGAAAUUUAUGUAAUUUAGCUCCGGUAAAUGAUGCUAAACUGCAAUGUAUUAAAAAAUAUGUUGCCUAGCCACUCACAUGGCUACGUGGUAUUUACUUUCAGGAAUCUCGAUAGACUAAGGCUGAUGGUAAGAUGUGAUGGUUAUCCAAGUAGUUACCUAAUAGUACUUAGUAUUAGCUCUUCCCUAGUCAUAUCAUAUACAGGUAGUCUAUAGUUCUAUAUCCAAGAUGGUUGUUGCACCCUUUUGGCCAGUUUGGUAUGUAAGGUCAGGUUGCAUUAGUCUAUGUUAGGAUGAACUGGCUAACAUAUCAGUGAUGUAAAGUCGCCUCAUGUGUACUUUAUGUAACCUUGGACACGUGUACAACCUAUCACAUGUCCAUGUUGUUCUUUCCAUACACAACUUUUCCAUGUGCAGUCUUAAAUACAACUUGGUCUCACACCUAUACCUGAGAGCUCUCUUUGGUACAAAUAAGCAGGAAACUAUAUGCUGAAAAGUGCGGUGAUAUAUUCAGUUACUAAAUUUACUGAAUUUGUGAUCCCAAUAUUGCCAGCAGAAUAGUGAAAUGACAGGGAUUGCUCUAUAGAAAAUUUGCAGUGUCCUUGAACUUUGUGAUGGGCAAUUCAGUUUUCUAGGGCAACUGGUCUGGUCCAAACUAAUAAAUGCAUGGGUUUUCAUGUUAUGUUCCCUGUAAGAAGUUGAUCUUUGUUUCUUAUGUAUUUGCCUUUAGCUCUUUUGUUCAUUGCAUUGUUGCUUGUUGAUGUUCUUACAUUAUUUUCUGAUCGCUUUAUUACCGGGUUGAGAAUGACCGCACCCGCAGGGGUGCGGCAAGCCGCACUUCUUACCUGUACCGUCAACAGAGGAGCGCCGGAGAGAGAACCCAUUGAAUGCAGAAGCCUGAAGGAGUCCAUAAAGUGCAGGCUGGUCAAGAGUGAGCAGGUCCGUGUGUCACAACAUGCAAGGAAAUCAAAUAUGGAGUGUGGGUAAAGUUAUAUAUCAAGAAAAUUGGAUCAAAGCGUGUGGACAAAGUUAUAUAUGAAGCAAAUCGGAUGAAGGCUUGUGGAUAAAGUUAUAUAUCUAAUAGAUGUAGUUUACUAUUAUGCAGUAUAAAAAACAAUGUAAAUAAGUUAGCUGGGAUUAAUACUAUGGCCUGCUUUUGGUUUCUAUCA